rnacentral:rRNA from 1 species
GGAAUAUUGCACAAUGGGCGAAAGCCUGAUGCAGCGACGCCGCGUGAGGGAUGACGGCCUUCGGGUUGUAAACCUCUUUCAGCAGGGAAGAAGCGAGAGUGACGGUACCUGCAGAAGAAGCGCCGGCUAACUACGUGCCAGCAGCCGCGGUAAUACGUAGGGCGCGAGCGUUGUCCGGAAUUAUUGGGCGUAAAGAGCUCGUAGGCGGCUUGUCACGUCGGAUGUGAAAGCCCGGGGCUUAACCCCGGGUCUGCAUUCGAUACGGGCAGGCUAGAGUUCGGUAGGGGAGAUCGGAAUUCCUGGUGUAGCGGUGAAAUGCGCAGAUAUCAGGAGGAACACCGGUGGCGAAGGCGGAUCUCUGGGCCGAUACUGACGCUGAGGAGCGAAAGCGUGGGGAGCGAACAGG